rnacentral:lncRNA from 1 species
AUGAGCUGUCCGUCACCAAAGGAAGACGUGGACCCGGGGGACGAUGACAGAGACUGGACACACCCCUUUGGUUUGACCUUCUCACAGGAACCAACUGUUCUUUGUCAACAGCAAUACAGUCUCUCUCUCUCUCUCUCUCUCACACACACAUUCACCAUUGUCUCUGGAUGUAAAAUCACCCUGGUUUCACUGUGAAGUUCUCUGGAGGUUCUCUUAGUUCCUUAUUUAAUUUGGGUGUUAAUGUGUGUGUGUGUGGCUCUGUGCUCUGACCUGCUGUUGCCUGAGAGUAAUGUGUCAGAAACGUUCUGAGAACGUCUGAGUAACGUCAGUGAUCUGCUCUGUACCAGGGGAUGAACAGUGAAAACUUCAUCCCUCCCGAUCUCUACUGUUUAGAAUAAAUGAAUCAAUACUUAGAUAUUUUGACCGGAU